rnacentral:rRNA from 1 species
GAUGAACGCUGGCGGCGUGCCUAACACAUGCAAGUCGAACGCUUCACCUCGGUGAAGAGUGGCUUACGGGUGAGUAAUACCUAAGUAACCUGGCAUCUACCGGGGGCUAACUUUUGGUAACGUCUGCUAAAACCGCAUAUGUGUAGAGAUCGCAUGAACUCUAUAUGAAAAGUGCUACGGGACUGGUAGAUGAUGGACUUAUGGCGCAUUAGCUUGUUGGUAGGGUAACGGCCUACCAAGGCGACGAUGCGUAGCCGACCUGAGAGGGUGACCGGCCACACUGGGACUGAGACACGGCCCAGACUCCUACGGGAGGCAGCAGUAGGGAAUUUUCGGCAAUGGGGGAAACCCUGACCCAGCAACGCCGCGUGAAGGAAGAAGGAAUUCGUUGUGUAAAGUUCUGUUAUAGGGGAAGAACGGUGGAUAUAGGGAAUGAUGUCCAAGUGACGGUACUCUAUAAGAAAGCCACGGCUAACUACGUG